UGGCAGUUGUUGUGGGGGUGGAAUCCCAGGA
rnacentral:piRNA from 1 species